rnacentral:tRNA from 3 species
GGAGACGUGGCCGAGUGGUCGAAGGCGCUCCCCUGCUAAGGGAGUAGGCGGUAACCCGUCUCGAGGGUUCGAAUCCCUUCGUCUCCGCCA